rnacentral:rRNA from 1 species
GUCAGAGGCCCCAAGCGUUAGGCGGAAUCACUGGGCUUAAAGCGUGUGUAGGCGGAUCGUUAAGUGUCUUGUGAAAUCCCACGGCUCACCCGUGGAACGGCUGGGCAUACUGGCGAUCUUGGGCCAACUAGGGGCAGUCGGAACAAGCGGUGGAGCGGUGAAAUGCGUAGAUAUCGCUUGGAACGCCGAAGGUGAAAACAGACUGCUGGGGUUGCGCCGACGCUGAGACACGAAAGCCAGGGGAGCAAACGGG